rnacentral:rRNA from 1 species
UACGGAGGGAGCUAGCGUUGUUCGGAAUUACUGGGCGUAAAGCGCACGUAGGCGGCUUUGUAAGUUAGAGGUGAAAGCCCGGGGCUCAACUCCGGAAUUGCCUUUAAGACUGCAUCGCUUGAAUCCGGGAGAGGUGAGUGGAAUUCCGAGUGUAGAGGUGAAAUUCGUAGAUAUUCGGAAGAACACCAGUGGCAAAGGCGGCUCACUGGACCGGUAUUGACGCUGAGGUGCGAAAGCGUGGGGAGCAAACAGG